GCUGAAAUGCUAACUAUGGGUUCCUAGGACAGCCCAUUUAAUUUCUCCUUUUGUUGGCUGGAUCCCAGCCCUCCCUUCUCCUCCAGGCUCCUCCCCAAAUAUCUCACCAGCUGUGGAGUUGCCCCACCCCUAAUUAUUAGCCCAGGGCUGCCAAGCUGCAGCUCCACCCCCGCAGAGGAUGGCAGCAGAGCACAGAAUGUGACAAUGGCAGCAGCAGGUGGCCCUUCAGAAAAGGCCAGAUCCCCCUCUCUGUGAUUACUGCCAUCCAUCUGCAGGCAGACAGGCCCUGGGCAACUCUGCUCCUAGGGGGUACUGUCCUCUCUUUGUGGACACAAGUGAGGACAGAAAGGUGAGCUAGGAACACACCCAGCCAGCCAUAAAAGGCUGAGCCAUCAGUCCAAGACCACGGCAGUCAUGGCACCAGAAAACUUAUUUAAAAUGCAAAUCCAGACAUCUCCCGCCAGCCCUGUGACUCAGAAACUCUGGGGUAGGUCCAGCAGUCCGUGUGAACAAGCUUGGCAGGUGAAUCCUGCAAAGGCGAGUUGAGGCCCACGGGCUUGAACAGUCUGCAAUCCUCCACACUUUCGUCUUUCAACCUACUUGGGCAUCAUCAGGUCAGCCAUCAGCAGGGAUCACAUACUCGCACAGGGGGAAGAGGCAUAAGACCUUCCUGUCCAGUUUCUUCCUGGUUAAGCCUGCUGUCAUCCCUCCCUAAUGAUGCUGCUGGACCCACCAAGCUCAGCCCUUUGCAUGAUGAACCAACCAGGAACACCAGUUCUGCUUUCUGCAACCGUUUACAAUUUUCUUCCUCUUGUACACACUAGCAGUCAGUGAAAUGUUGCUCCCUAAUUCCCCUGUCUCCAGGGUAAACAUCUAUAACUUCCUUUGUAGUUCUGAUAUAACAAGGUUUCUAGUUGACCCUGCAGGAUCCCUCCCUGCCUAUGAUCAAACAAGACCACCAGAAGCUUGGAAGAAAAUAUCCCAGCCAUAUUUGGCUUGCACAGAGCAUGGGAGCUGUGGCCCCCGGCUGCCUGGAUACUAGGAACAGCCCUCAAGGACACUUUGUUCUGCUACAGUCACAUCACCUGGUCCAUACAGCAAAAUGCCCUGGUCUUUUAAAUAAUGCUGUAAUUAAAGUCCUCUUCUAUUUAUGUUUUGGAACUCGAGCAUAUAAUUUUACAUUUCUAAUAAUAAAUUUAUCCCCUAGUUCUUCUGUUCUGGAUUUUUUAUUCAUAUACCAUUAAAUUUAUCCUCAUGUAAAAUUGAAAAUAUGGCACUC
rnacentral:lncRNA from 1 species